UUGAAGGCCUUGUCCUCGACAUGCACAUGCUCCCUAGAAACAGUCACAUAAACUCAACGGAGAUAGUCUUGGAAACCAAUGCAUUUGCAAGGAUGCGUGAACUAAAACUACUCCAUCUUAAUCAUGUACAACUCGAUGGAUCUUAUGCAGAAUUUUGUACAAGAUUAAGAUGGUUGUGUUGGAAUAAGUUUCCUUUGGAUUCUAUACCCACAGAUUUUCCUUUGGGGAGCCUGGUUGUUCUUGAAAUGCAAUAUAGCCGCUUGAGUCAAGUCUUCAAAGGAACAAAACGUCUUUCAUCAUUGAAGAUCCUUGAUCUCAGCCAUUCUCAUUCACUUACAGAAAUCACCGACUUCUCAUUUUGCCCAAAUCUAGAGAAAUUGAUUCUUGUAGAUUGUGAAAGACUGGUUGAUGUCAAUGAAUCCAUUGGGAACCUUGAGAGACUUGUUUACUUGAGUAUGAAGGAUUGCAAAAAUAUUAGGAUGCUUCCAGAGAACAUGAUUAUGCUAAAAUCACUUGAAACACUUAUUAUAUCUGGUUGCACAAAUCUUAAUAGGUUAUCAAUUGAGAUAUUAAGGAACAUGGAAUCUCUGAAAGUGCUUAAGAUAGAUGAAAUCCAGAUAACUCAAGUAUGGCGAGGAAGAAGUUUAGGUAUCUGGAGUUCUUUACCAUGCUCUUUAGUAAAUUUAAGUGUUUGGGGGUGCAAUCUUUCGGAUGAUAACUUUCCUAGGGAUUUUAGUAAUCUAUCUUCACUGCGAAGACUAAACGUAGGGAAUAAUCCAAUUUGUAGCCUGCCAAAUUGCAUCCAAGGUUUAACAAGGCUCGAUAAACUCUCUUUUGAGAAGUGUACAAGGCUCAAAUCGCUUGUGGGUUUACCAAAACAUGGUCACUUGCGUAUCGUAGAUUGCAUAUCAUUGGAAAAAAUAACGUAUCAAUCCUCUUCAUACUUCACACUUUCUUUAUCAGAAGGUGGCAACUACAACCUAGUUGAGUGGGAGUACAGGUUCAAACCCAUUCGUAGAGUUGAUGCAGAAAUGAUCAACCUCUUGGGAUUGUGCAACUUGUUGGAAUCAAUGGCACCCAUUUGGAUGCGCGAACCAUCUUCUCUUUCAAUGGUUUAUUUGAAUCCUACCGUACGUCCCGUCCGGGUACUCUCUCUCUCUCUCUCUCUCUCUCUAAUGAUCACAGGAAAUGGUUGACUAAUAUUGUCAUUUCCAUUGCAUAUAUAUAGGUAUGGUAUCAGGAUGGUAUAUUCAGCACAUUUUUUGGUGGGAAUGAGGUUCCAGGCCAAUUCAGCCAUAAAAGUAGAGGGUCCUCAAUAUCUUUUACUGUGCCUUUGCUUGAUAAUCACAGAAUUAAUGGCUUGAACGUCUGUGCUGUCUAUGCGAGUUCUAGCUCUCAAUUUCUUUACAAUUAUUGGGAUGGUAUUGAAGGUAUUGCUGGGCAUAUGAUUACUAGAGUCAGAAAUAAGAGCAAGGGUCUGAAGUGGUACUCUUUACCAGAACACUUUGGUGUUCCAGAUGGACAACACAUUACAUGGUUAAGCCACUGGAAGUUUAAGGAUGAGCACUUAGAAGGUGGCGAUCAAGUGGUGGUUUCAGUACGUAUGGCACAUUGCUUUCAGGUAAAGGAGUUGGGGAUCCAGUUUGUGCACGUGGAACAAGAGAGUCAUAAUCUGAUGACAUUGAUGAGUACCAUUUAUCCUAAUGAUCCAUGUGAGAUUCCCAGCGCAGAAUACUUGUUCAAUGAUGAAGAUAUAGGAGACAAUGAAGAAGAGCAACAGGAUGAUCGCUCAAUUGCAGCCCCCACAGGCAGUAAUAACUGCAGCAGCUGCCUCCAUGGCUGGAAAGUGCUCAUCACCGCAGCUUGCAACCUCACGCUCUCUCUCUCACGCAGACAGAAGCAACAGUCAGAAAGCCGUGGCUGAAUUAUUUGUACAUCUCAACUCAACAGCUGGUUAUUUGUACAUCCAAUGUCUUCCCAAGACCUAUUCGUUUCAUAGCAUCAAAUACAUCUUCUAUUGAACCAAUAAUUGGCAACUGUCCAAUUCAGAUCUUCACUGUGA